GGUUAAGCGACUAAGCGUACACGGUGGAUGCCCUGGCAGUCAGAGGCGAUGAAGGGCGUGCUAAUCUGCGAUAAGCGCCGGUAAGGUGAUAUGAACCGUUAUAACCGGCGAUACCCGAAUGGGGAAACCCAGUGUGACUCGUCACACUAUCAUUAACUGAAUCCAUAGGUUAAUGAGGCGAACCGGGGGAACUGAAACAUCUAAGUACCCCGAGGAAAAGAAAUCAACCGAGAUUCCCCCAGUAGCGGCGAGCGAACGGGGAGGAGCCCAGAGCCUGAAUCAGCAUGUGUGUUAGUGGAAGCGUCUGGAAAGGCGCGCGAUACAGGGUGACAGCCCCGUACACAAAAGCGCAUGUGCUGUGAGCUCGAUGAGUAGGGCGGGACACGUGGUAUCCUGUCUGAAUAUGGGGGGACCAUCCUCCAAGGCUAAAUACUCCUGACUGACCGAUAGUGAACCAGUACCGUGAGGGAAAGGCGAAAAGAACCCCGGCGAGGGGAGUGAAAAAGAACCUGAAACCGUGUACGUACAAGCAGUGGGAGCCCCACCACUAAGCCAGUGGUGAACUCCACAUCCGCAUCCUUUGCUGAGGAUACGGUUAACGGAGCGAAAGCGACGUUCAACCGCAAAACAAGCAGAGGGGGCUUAGUGGUGGGGUGACUGCGUACCUUUUGUAUAAUGGGUCAGCGACUUAUAUUCUGUAGCAAGGUUAACCGAAUAGGGGAGCCGGAGGGAAACCGAGUCUUAAUUGGGCGUUAAGUUGCAGGGUAUAGACCCGAAACCCGGUGAUCUAGCCAUGGGCAGGUUGAAGGUUGGGUAACACUAACUGGAGGACCGAACCGACUAAUGUUGAAAAAUUAGCGGAUGACCUGUGGCUGGGGGUGAAAGGCCAAUCAAACCGGGAGAUAGCUGGUUCUCCCCGAAAGCUAUUUAGGUAGCGCCUCGUGAAUUCAUCUCCGGGGGUAGAGCACUGUUUCGGCUAGGGGGCCAUCCCGGCUUACCAACCCGAUGCAAACUGCGAAUACCGGAGAAUGUUAUCACGGGAGACACACGGCGGGUGCUAACGUCCGUCGUGAAGAGGGAAACAACCCAGACCGCCAGCUAAGGUCCCAAAGUCAUGGUUAAGUGGGAAACGAUGUGGGAAGGCCCAGACAGCCAGGAUGUUGGCUUAGAAGCAGCCAUCAUUUAAAGAAAGCGUAAUAGCUCACUGGUCGAGUCGGCCUGCGCGGAAGAUGUAACGGGGCUAAACCAUGCACCGAAGCUGCGGCAGCGAACGUAUCACCCAAGACAACUUUACGGAGUUGACGAUUGACGGAGCGAAGCGACGUCAAAGCGUUCAUUAAAGUCGAGUUGGCUUAGGGAUACGUUCGUUGGGUAGGGGAGCGUUCUGUAAGCCUGUGAAGGUGUGUCGUGAGGCAUGCUGGAGGUAUCAGAAGUGCGAAUGCUGACAUAAGUAACGAUAAAGCGGGUGAAAAGCCCGCUCGCCGGAAGACCAAGGGUUCCUGUCCAACGUUAAUCGGGGCAGGGUGAGUCGACCCCUAAGGCGAGGCCGAAAGGCGUAGUCGAUGGGAAACGGGUUAAUAUUCCCGUACUUGGUGUUACUGCGAAGGGGGGACGGAGAAGGCUAUGUUGGCCGGGCGACGGUUGUCCCGGUUUAAGCGUGUAGGUGUGUGUUCCAGGUAAAUCCGGUUCACUUUAACACUGAGGCGUGACGACGAGGCACUACGGUGCUGAAGCAACAAAUGCCCUGCUUCCAGGAAAAGCCUCUAAGCAUCAGGUAACACGAAAUCGUACCCCAAACCGACACAGGUGGUCAGGUAGAGAAUACCAAGGCGCUUGAGAGAACUCGGGUGAAGGAACUAGGCAAAAUGGUGCCGUAACUUCGGGAGAAGGCACGCUGACACGUAGGUGAAGUGAUUUACUCAUGGAGCUGAAGUCAGUCGAAGAUACCAGCUGGCUGCAACUGUUUAUUAAAAACACAGCACUGUGCAAACACGAAAGUGGACGUAUACGGUGUGACGCCUGCCCGGUGCCGGAAGGUUAAUUGAUGGGGUCAGCGUAAGCGAAGCUCCUGAUCGAAGCCCCGGUAAACGGCGGCCGUAACUAUAACGGUCCUAAGGUAGCGAAAUUCCUUGUCGGGUAAGUUCCGACCUGCACGAAUGGCGUAAUGAUGGCCAGGCUGUCUCCACCCGAGACUCAGUGAAAUUGAACUCGCUGUGAAGAUGCAGUGUACCCGCGGCAAGACGGAAAGACCCCGUGAACCUUUACUAUAGCUUGACACUGAACAUUGAGCCUUGAUGUGUAGGAUAGGUGGGAGGCUUUGAAGUGUGGACGCCAGUCUGCAUGGAGCCGACCUUGAAAUACCACCCUUUAAUGUUUGAUGUUCUAACGUGGACCCGUAAUCCGGGUUGCGGACAGUGUCUGGUGGGUAGUUUGACUGGGGCGGUCUCCUCCUAAAGAGUAACGGAGGAGCACGAAGGUUGGCUAAUCCUGGUCGGACAUCAGGAGGUUAGUGCAAUGGCAUAAGCCAGCUUGACUGCGAGCGUGACGGCGCGAGCAGGUGCGAAAGCAGGUCAUAGUGAUCCGGUGGUUCUGAAUGGAAGGGCCAUCGCUCAACGGAUAAAAGGUACUCCGGGGAUAACAGGCUGAUACCGCCCAAGAGUUCAUAUCGACGGCGGUGUUUGGCACCUCGAUGUCGGCUCAUCACAUCCUGGGGCUGAAGUAGGUCCCAAGGGUAUGGCUGUUCGCCAUUUAAAGUGGUACGCGAGCUGGGUUUAGAACGUCGUGAGACAGUUCGGUCCCUAUCUGCCGUGGGCGCUGGAGAACUGAGGGGGGCUGCUCCUAGUACGAGAGGACCGGAGUGGACGCAUCACUGGUGUUCGGGUUGUCAUGCCAAUGGCACUGCCCGGUAGCUAAAUGCGGAAGAGAUAAGUGCUGAAAGCAUCUAAGCACGAAACUUGCCCCGAGAUGAGUUCUCCCUGAGACUUAGAGUCUCCUGAAGGAACGUUGAAGACGACGACGUUGAUAGGCCGGGUGUGUAAGCGCAGCGAUGCGUUGAGCUAACCGGUACUAAUGAACCGUGAGGCUUAACCUU
rnacentral:rRNA from 2 species